UGACUCUCUGAGGACUAUCUCACAAUGU
rnacentral:piRNA from 1 species